CCCUUAGAUGUUCUGGGCCGCACGCGUGCUACACUGACCGGCGCAACAAGCUUUUUUCCUUGGCUCGACAGGCCUGGGUAAUCUUCGAACGCCGGUCGUGAUGGGGAUAGAUCCUUGCAAUUUUUGAUCUUCAACGAGGAAUUCCUAGUAAAUGCGAGUCAUCAUCUCGCGUUGAUUACGUCCCUGCCCUUUGUACACACCGCCCGUCGCUACUACCGAUUGAACGUUUUAGUGAGGUAUUUGGACUGGACCUUCGGAGGUUCGCGCCUCCGUUGCUGUUCGGGAAGACUCCCAAACUUGAGCGUUUAGAGGAAGUAAAANUCGUANCA
rnacentral:rRNA from 1 species